rnacentral:lncRNA from 1 species
CCAGGGGGUAACAGUUACCCCUGUCCUCAGGGGGGGAGAGAGAGGGAGGCCCCCUGCUGUGGCAAUGGGGGGAGUAGCAUCGCUCCCUGUCUCCUCCUGGGCUAGUCGCACACGGGGAUUAAAAUGGGCUGGAGCAGAAGAGGAGCUUGGGCUGCAGCCCCUCAGGAACGCCAUGUAACCACCAGCGUGCUCUUGCGGGGUGUUUCUGUACUGGACCCGGGGAACUACUUUCUACAGCGGAGGGGAGAAGGCAGUCUUGUGUCAUGGACCAUUCUAACCUACCAUUCCUUGCCCCCUUUCCCAACGGGGCCAGCAUUGCAUCAAGUCAUGGUUCGAGCAGUCACAAAACCCCUCUCACAGAUGAGUAUGAGUAGAGCUGAUUGAAUUCUUCAUUAUGAUUAACUUAGCUGAAGAUUUUGUCAAAUUAUUCAUAAUUACAUUUUCCAUUAUUCAGCCAUGAGUGUAUUUCGUGGCUCCUUGGUUGGAGGUGCCCAAUGAGAUGAAGAUGUAAAGGUGUAGGAACUGAGGUGCCUUGUUCCAUUUCACCAGAGUGCCUGUUAAGAACUGUGUUUAAAUAAAAUACCCCUUUGUUUUAUUGUGAAAUGGUAU